rnacentral:rRNA from 1 species
GGUCACUGCUAUUGGGAUUCGGCUAAGCCAUGCAAGCGGAGGGCGCGGUCGAAAGAUCGUGGCCCCGCACACUGCUCAGUAACACGUAGUCAACCUACCCUUGGGACGGGGACAACCUCGGGAAACUGAGGCUAAUCCCCGAUAGGUGAGGGACGCUGGGAUGCCUCCUCGCCCAAAGCUCCGGCGCCCAAGGAUGGGACUGCGGCCUAUCAGGCUGUUGGUGGUGUAACGGACCACCAAACCUACGACGGGUACGGGCGAUGGGAGUCGGAGCCCGGAGAUGGGGACUGAGACAAGGCCCCAGGCCCUACGGGGCGCAGCAGGCGCGAAAACUCCGCAAUGCGCGCAAGCGUGACGGGGGAAUCCCAAGUGCCGUUGGUCUUAUGAUCGACGGUUUUUAGGAAGUCUAAGAAGCUUCCAGAAUAAGGGCUGGGCAAGACUGGUGCCAGCCGCCGCGGUAACACCAGCAGCCCAAGUGGUGACCACGAUUAUUGGGCCUAAAGCGCUCGUAGCCGGAUCAGCAAGUCCCUUGUGAAAUCGGGCCGCCCAACGGUUCGGCGUGCAAGGGAUACUGUUGGUCUUGAGGCCGGGAGAGGUCGGAGGUACUCCUGGGGUAGCGGUGAAAUGCUCUAAUCCUAGGGGGACCACCAGUGGCGAAGGCGUCCGACCAGAACGGACCUGACGGUGAGGGGCGAAGGCUAGGGGAGCGAACGGGAUUAGAUACCCCGGUAGUCCUAGCUGUAAAGCAUGCGGGCCAGGUGUCUAGCGCUCCUUGAGGGCGCUAGGUGCCGGAGGGAAGCCGUUAAGCCCGCCGCCUGGGAAGUACGGCCGCAAGGCUGAAACUUAAAGAAAUUGGCGGGGGAGCACCACAAGAGGUGGGACCUGCGGUUC